AAUUUUGGACAAUGGGCGCAAGCCUGAUCCAGCCAUGCCUCGUGAGUGAAGAAGGCCUUCGGGGUGUAAAGCACUUUCGGACGGAAAGAAAUCGCGCAGGCUAAUACCCUGCGAUGAGGACGGUACCGGCAUAAUAAGCGCCGUCUACCUACGUCCCCGCAGCCGCGGUAAUACGUAGGUUGCUAGCGUUAAUCGGAAUUACUGGGCGUAAAGCGUGCGCAGGCGGUUGAUUAAGACAAGAGUGAAAUCCCCGGGCUUAACCUGGGAACUGCGCUUGUGACUGGUCAGCUAGAGUACGGCAGAGGGGGGUGGAAUUCCACGUGUAGCAGUGAAAUGCGUAGAGAUGUGGAAGAACACCGAUGGCGAAGGCAGCCCCCUGGGCCGAUACUGACGCUCAUGCACGAAAGCGUGGGUAGCAAACAGG
rnacentral:rRNA from 1 species